UACAGAGGGGGCAAGCGUUGUUCGGAAUUACUGGGCGUAAAGGGCGCGUAGGCGGCCUGCUAAGUCGAAACGUGAAAUCCCUGGGCUCAACCCAGGAACUGCGUCCGAUACUGGUUGGCUUGAAUCGGGAGAGGGAUGUGGAAUUCCAGGUCGUAGCGGUGGAAAGUGCGUAGAUAUCUGGAGGAACACCGGUGGCGAAGGCGACACCUGGACCGGGUAUUGGACGCCUGACGGCGCGAAAGCCCAGGGGAGCAAAGCGGGAUUAAGAAACCCGGGGUAGGUCCCAG
rnacentral:rRNA from 1 species